AAUAACAGAUCAAUUUAAAGCUUGAAAUCAAAUAGCUACAGGAUUUAAGUCAAUAUUUUAGUACGUGUGCAUUUGCUGACUUCACUCAGGUCUUGCAGCUGUCUGUGGUUCCUCCUCACGCCUCUUACAUUUGGGGUUUGUGGGGAUGCCUUGUCAACUAGUUUUGUUCUAAACCUUGUGUAGGGAUUUUUACUUUUGCCAUUUAGUUGCUCGAUCCAUAGCACCUAAUGGAUAAAUGGCUUUUCUUCCAUGUUUAUUAGAAAAAAAAAAAAGGAAAAUUUUAAUGAGUCAUUUUCAAUGAUUUGAACUAUGGACUCUGUCUUGAACUACACAUGAAUGCAAAAUAAUCACAGUAACUCUCCCAAGGAAGUUCUAAUAACCAAGCUGCUUAAAAGGAAUUACCCUGAAAAGUAACUAAACCAAGGCUCCCUAAACCAGAAUCUCUGACAACCACGUAGCACAUCUUACUGUUUUCCACUCAUUCCAUACAUUUUGAUUGAGAAUAAGUGAUGUGUUGGAUUCUACUAAAUGCUAUCAUGGUUAUAAAUAAGUAUGAAGCUUGGCCCUUCUCUCAGGGAGUUUCAAAUCUGUCUGGGAUUGUAUUAGACACAGGAGGUAGGAAGAUAAUUUGUAAAUUAUAAUGACAUAAAAUGUAUCAAUCAUUUAACAUCUCAGUGCAGACGGACUAAAAUGUAUCAUGUGACAACCUCCCCACCCCCCAUAGUUCUCUGUAAUUAUUUGUUUGAGACAAGGUCUCACUCUGUUGCCCAGGCUGCAGUGCAGUGGCAAGAUCUCAGCCUUGACCUCCCGGGCUCAAGCAAUCCUCCCACCUCAGCCUCUCAGGUAGCUGGGAGUAUAAGAGCAU
rnacentral:lncRNA from 1 species